CAUUACCAGUAUUAGAGGCACUGCCUGCCCAGUGACAUUAGUUAAACGGCCGCGGUAUCCUGACCGUGCAAAGGUAGCAUAAUCAUUUGUUCCUUAAUUAGGGACUUGUAUGAAUGGCCCCACGAGGGUUUAACUGUCUCUUACUUUUAAUCAGUGAAAUUGACCUUCCCGUGAAGAGGCGGGAAUACAAAAAUAAGACGAGAAGACCCUAUGGAGCUUAAAUUAAUAUGUUCAACAGAAUUUAAUUAUAAUCCAAUAGGAAUAAAAAUAUUCUAACUGAACAAUAAAUUUUGGUUGGGGUGACCUCGGAGUAUAACAUAACCUCCGAGCAAUUAAACCAAGACUUACCAGUCAAGGCCAUAUAACUUAUUGAUCCAAUCUUAUUGAUCAACGGAACAAGUUACCCUAGGGAUAACAGCGCAAUCCUAUUUAAGAGUUCAUAUCGACAAUAGGGUUUACGACCUCGAUGUUGGAUCAGGACACCCAAAUGGUGCAGCAGCUAUUAAAGGUUCGUUUGUUCAACG
rnacentral:rRNA from 1 species